rnacentral:lncRNA from 1 species
UGCAACCCUAAUGCACAGAUAGCUGACAUCAACUUCCGUCAGGCAGCUCCUGGAGAUCGAACCUUUCGAUUGUAACUGGGACAAUUUGCAUAGUGAUUCCCUUUCAGAGCUUUCCCGGGUCCAUAACUAGCCCAGGCAGCUAUUCAAAUGCAAGUUGCAUCCCCCAAAUGCAAGGCUGGCCUGACCAAAAAGAGCCACACGGCGCCGGGAGAGGCGAGACUCGCGCCACGGUUCUCAUCCUUCUCUUUUCUCCUUCCUUCUCCCUUUCUCUUCUCCGGUUCCUGAUUUAGCUGGGAGCUAUUUAUUUAUGACUACAAAUGUGUGUGCGCGAGCCAGAGAGAGAGGGAGGGAACUGAUCUUUGCUUGGACUUAAAGAUGGAGACGAAGGAGCCGGAGGGAAUUGGGGUCUGUGUGUCUGGCUCAGACCCUAGGCGCUGAGGGGGGCCGCUGGGCAUCAAGCCCAAGGUCUUUCUUCCCGGCGCCCCGUAUUCCGCGACCUGGCAGGAAUCCGUGGGCCAAAGAGCGCCCCGGCUGAUCCGCCUGCCCCGGGCCGGGCUACAAGGAAAGUCUUGGAGCAGGGGGCCGUCCCGUCCCUGUCUUUAAAAUGAGCGCAAUAAAAGGGGCAAAUCCUCGAACGCGAACCUGAUCGCAUGUCACAGAAGCAACUUGCCAUGAAAUCCGCUAAUGCGCCGCGACUCGCCCACCAGGGGCCGGGCACUUCCUCAGCAAAGCAUUGGAGGCCUUCAAGCCGGGCAUGGCGCACUGCUGUCCUGCCUACAUACAGAUACCGGCCCACACGUGUUAGGCCUGAAAAAGACACCGGACCGGGAGGAAAACUCAGGAACAGCUAUUCAGGAGCGCCUGGAGACUCUCCUGCCUGGACCCUUGGACCUUGGGAGCGGGCCGGCCCAGAGAACCUCAGAGAAGACAGUUCCCCUCCCCCUCUACUCCCCACCUUCCCCCUCCCCCCUCACAACAGCUGUGCUUUUGGGGCGCUCGGCUCCUGCCAGUCCACAGGUCCUACGUCCCUGCCCAGCAUUGGCGCGUUAGAGAUCAGUCUGUGUACUCCCAGCUUUUCCUCCUAACCCCACUCCCGAGCCCUGGGUCACCGCAUUUAUGCCACAAGACCCCGAAAAGCUCUCAUGCACAAAAACUAAAGGACUCUAACAUGAUCCCUCGAGUAUCGGGCUAGUUCAGGAAGGAGCAAGCCGAGCAGGGGUCUGGGGAAAAUACAACUGGACGCUUGGAGACUCCAUAAUCCUACGCCUGAACGGCUCUCAGGCCAAAGGGCAGGUGCACUUGCCCUGAGCCCCGGGUCCGAAACGCGGGGGCUGGUUCUUGUGCCAGCCAGAGGCGGAGGGAAGCAGAGGAGGUGGCCAAGAAGCGGAAGGCCGACAGGGUGGGAAGGGCAAGAAAAGAAGGUAAAGUAUCAGAAGGCAAGUGUGAGAGAUGAAGCGGGAAGGGAAAAGACUUGGGAGAAAGCAAGAAAAGGCCGGGAUCCAGGCCCAGCAGGCCCCAGGAGAGAGACCCAGGCAAGGGGUGAGGAAACCAGAACACCAGCGUUUUAUUUUUAAAUCUUCUAGGUGUCUGCGGGUCAAAUAAAGACAAGGGCGGUAACGAUUAUUCUGUUAAAUCUAUGGUACUUGACUGCGCAAACACUAAUUGAUUAGACACCAAAAUGAUUUGUUUAAAGAGUUUUCCUUCCCAAGUGCAGCUGCUCUCAGGUCCAGGUCGGCGUUACCCCGCGAGACUGCGGAGGAGUUCGCCAAGUGGGCCCGGCGCCCGGCCGCCCAGCCCGCAAUCCGUGUAGGGUCGGGCGGCUGGUCCACGCUCCAUAGGCCUGAGGGUACAGGCUGGGCGGCAUCCCGUGACUUCUGCUCUUAGGGACCACCCCGAAGGGAUUUUGCUACACCCGCCUCCUCUAAAUUGCACCGAGGAGGAACCCCUCUCUUCCCGCUCUCCUUUCCAGUCCUCAGCCUUGGAAAUCAACACCUGCCCCUGGUUAAUUCGGCGUACUGUCCCCCAAAAGUGGAAGCAUCGAAAGAACAGCAUUUCUGGCAGUCUAAAGCCUGGAAAAUUCACCGCCCCGGAGGCGUGGGUAGGUUCCCUUUGUAAUAUUCUUCAACGAGGUAAAGUGACCAAGAAAGAAAACCCGUGAAGGGUUGAUGGUUGGCCAACUUCCCCAGAAUCGCGCCGGUUGCGACUAGCACGGUCCUGUGGCCAGAGAGUCAUCUAGGAACCUGGACCCCCUCCUUCAUGCUCCACCCACUCUUCCUUCAGCGCUCUUGGUUCGAAGCCUUGCAAAGCUCUCGCCAGAGUGGAUGACUGCCGGAACGGAUUUCAACCCAGGUGAAGCUGCCUCCAGUUCAGCUAGGGAACCUAGAAAGGGGAGCGGUUUGCUUCCUCCACCAGGAGGUAACAGACACACCAGGAGUGGUCUGAAGUUCCAGGAUGGCCACUCAGGUGGCUCUUGGUAGGUCCGGAAUUUCUAGGGUUGGCAUGAGCCGACAGCCUUUCAGCAGAGUAUCCUCUCUUUGAGAUUUGGAGUUACGAAUAGAGUAAGAUGAAACAAAGAAAACUGCGAAAAUGCCGAAUUUUUAAAAAUUCACGCGUGAAAACCGAAUUUAAGAAGGAAAAAGUGAGGGAGACGUUAACGAAAAGGUGAAUAAAAACUAUAGACAAAAAGAUGAUCAAAGAUUGAAAAAGAAGCCCAGGAUAAUUGGUAACUUCCUUGUCCCAGAGUGAAGGUCACUAUUUUUUUUUCUUCUCAAUAUUGGAAAUUGAACCCAGGGCCCGGAACCUAGUAUAUUUCUAUAACUGAGCUACACCCUCAGCCCAGUAACUUGGUUUUUGUGUUUUAAAAAAUUAUUUUCAAUAGCAAAUCACCAAUCUAGUCCCUUCUAUGUUUCUUGAUAAUUCUAUUCUAAGCCAAUAGUAAUUUUCUGAAUGAAAUUUCUCCAGAGAUGGGAGGACUCCCGAGGAAGACAGGAGAGCCCAAUGGGAAGCACCCAGGAUCAAAUCCUUCACCCCCAGCUAUCAAGUGCUUUACUGUAGUUAGAUAUCAAGGAAAUGGUUCCACACCAGCAGUUUAAUUCUAGACUGAAUGUAGUCAUCUGAAAUGAUGAUGAAUUCCAUUCUGAGGCUCUAGCCAAGGAGUGGGUCUUCCCCUGGGACCUUGGAGAUAUUUGCUCUGACACCCAAAAAAAAAAAAAAAUGAAAAGUACAUGUUUGAUGGCUCAGGGGGUCUAGAAACAUUUAUUUGGAAUGAUCCUGAAGACUGGGAAAUAACCCUGUAUUACACCUCUACUACUCACAAAGAAAAAUAAAGUAUUAACUUUGAAACCAAUAGGAGCUUCUAAGAGAACUUUGUGUGGUCAGCAUUUCGAAAAAUGGGCCUCUGCUUUUAAUUUUUUAAGCCUGAUGGGGUUGCCUGGAGGGUUGCCUGGCAAGCUGUAGAGCAUCCAGCAUGAGAGUGUACCUGCUCGUCCCAACCCCCCAGGCUCUUCUUCUGACAUUUACAAAAUAAAUAUUUUGAAAUCCUGGUUUCC